rnacentral:rRNA from 1 species
UGGGGAAUUUUGGACAAUGGGCGAAAGCCUGAUCCAGCAAUGCCGCGUGUGUGAAGAAGGCCUUCGGGUUGUAAAGCACUUUUGUCCGGAAAGAAAUCCUUGGCUCUAAUACAGUCGGGGGAUGACGGUACCGGAAGAAUAAGCACCGGCUAACUACGUGCCAGCAGCCGCGGUAAUACGUAGGGUGCAAGCGUUAAUCGGAAUUACUGGGCGUAAAGCGUGCGCAGGCGGUUUGCUAAGACCGAUGUGAAAUCCCCGGGCUCAACCUGGGAACUGCAUUGGUGACUGGCAGGCUAGAGUAUGGCAGAGGGGGGUAGAAUUCCACGUGUAGCAGUGAAAUGCGUAGAGAUGUGGAGGAAUACCGAUGGCGAAGGCAGCCCCCUGGGCCAAUACUGACGCUCAUGCACGAAAAGCGUGGGGAGCAAACAGGAUUAGAUACCCUGGUAGUCCACGCCCUAAAACGAUGUCAACUAGUUGUUGGGGAUUCAUUUCCUUAGUAACGUAGCUAACGCGUGAAGUUGACCGCCUGGGGAGUACGGUCGCAAGAUUAAAACUCAAAGGAAUUGACGGGGUCAUAGCUG